rnacentral:rRNA from 1 species
UACGGAGGGUGCUAGCGUUGUUCGGAAUCACUGGGCGUAAAGCGCGCGUAGGCGGUUUGUUAAGUCGGGGGUGAAAUCCCGAGGCUCAACCUCGGAACUGCCUUCGAUACUGGCUAUCUUGAGUCCGGGAGAGGUGAGUGGAACUCCUAGUGUAGAGGUGAAAUUCGUAGAUAUUAGGAAGAACACCGGUGGCGAAGGCGGGUCUCUGGGCCGUAACUGACGCUGAGGAGCGAAAGCAUGGGGAGCGAACAGG